AUAUCAUCCCCAUGACAUAGCAAAGAUUUGAACCAUGGGCUAAUUAGAACUCAAGCUAGCAACUAAAAACAUGCAUGAAUCUCAUGGCACAACCUCAAACUUACCUUGAUCUAGAUACAAGUAUGGCCAAACCUCCUCCUAAUCCUCUUCCAAACCAAACAUGAAGCAAGAACUCCUUCCUCCUUCCUUAGAAUUUUCGGCCAAAAGAAGAUGAAAAAAAGAUGAACAAAAUUUUUUCUUUUCUUUUCUUUUACUCACGGCAAUGGGGGGGAAACAACCACACACCUUUUUUUUUUGUUUUCAUCAUAUUUCCUUUCAUUAUUUUAUGCCCAUGCUCCUUAUUUUAUUGUUUCCACCCAU
rnacentral:lncRNA from 1 species